rnacentral:rRNA from 1 species
UACAGGGGGUGCAAACGUUGCUCGGAAUCACUGGGCGUAAAGCGCACGUAGGCGGAUCGUUAAGUCAGGGGUGAAAUCCUGGAGCUCAACUCCAGAACUGCCUUUGAUACUGGCGACCUUGAGUUCGGGAGAGGUGAGUGGAACUGCGAGUGUAGAGGUGAAAUUCGUAGAUAUUCGCAAGAACACCAGUGGCGAAGGCGGCUCACUGGCCCGAUACUGACGCUGAGGUGCGAAAGCGUGGGGAGCAAACAGG